GACGAACGCUGGCGGCGUGCUUAACACAUGCAAGUCGAACGCUGAAGCUCAGCUUUUGUUGGGUGGAUGAGUGGCGAACGGGUGAGUAACACGUGAGUAACCUGCCUCCUUCUUUGGGAUAACGCCCGGAAACGGGUGCUAAUACUGGAUAUUCACUGGUCUUCGCAUGGGGGUUGGUGGAAAGGGUUUUUCUGGGGGGGGAUGGGCUCGCGGCCUAUCAGCUUGUUGGUGGGGUGAUGGCCUACCAAGGCUUUGACGGGUAGCCGGCCUGAGAGGGUGACCGGUCACAUUGGGACGGAGAUACGGCCCAGACUCGUACGGGAGGCAGCAGUGGGGAAUAUUGCACAAUGGGCGCAAGCCUGAUGCAGCGACGCCGCGUGAGGGAUGGAGGCCUUCGGGUUGUGAACCUCUUUCGCACAUGGUCAAGCCGCAACAAUGGUUGUGGUGAGGGUAGUGGGUAAAGAAGCGCCGGCUAACUACGUG
rnacentral:rRNA from 1 species